ACACUGGGGGAUCUGAGAUGGGCGGUGCAAGGGUCAGUGAGUUCUCACUCUGGGUGUCCUCAAUUCACACAAGAGCAGAGAGAGAGUCUUUGAUUUACCAGGCCGCUGCAUGCCUCCGUCCACACCUUCUGCGCUGAAUGUAUUGUGUAUUUGUUUUUUUUUAGGGCAUGACUUGGAAUCCAGGAUGGUGCCAAGUUGAUAAGUGCAGCUCCACCAAGCUACGUGAACAGCCGGUGGCGAAGGUGGUGAGGAAAAACUCCCUAAGAUGUUAAGAGGAAGAAACCUUGAGAGGAACCAGACUCAGAAGGGAACCCUUCCUCAUCUGGUCACUGCUCCUCCCUUCAGCGUCUGCAGAGAGCCAGAAUCACAAUCCUACUACGUCACAGACAAACCAGCACAGCUGCACACA
ensembl:lncRNA